UUUCGUUGAUUAAAGUCGUUCUUUUACCUAAUAUUUUCUCAUACUUUCAUAAAACUCUAGCCGUCCUUCUUACUCCAAGAUCUCUAAAAUUCCUUGUGCCAUUCAUCCUUCAGAAACUCUGGUGUUAUCGCAUUAUAUUUGGAUCCGUUUCGUCCUAGUUGUAAUAGACACACGCCUCUACGAUUCUCAUCUUCGUUUUUGCCAAACGACUCUUCGACUACUCGCGCUCCGGAGUCGAAACAGGGUUAGCUGUUUGCCGAAGUUUCACGUGGAUAAGCAAGCAGUUUAUGAUUUGAAAGCUGGUCCACUCCGAUUCUUUUGAUUCCUCGGAGGUUUUUAUGUUAAUUAAACUAGUUACUGUUUUCGAACUCUUAGACCGCAGUAGAACUAGUUUAUAUAUUACAUUUGUUAUUGCACUUUAGGAUUGUCGAUAUGUUCAAUUAUUUAUUAUUAGCAUGUU